AUUGAACGCUGGCGGCAGGCCUAACACAUGCAAGUCGAACGAGUGGCGGACGGGUGAGUAAUGUCUGGGAAACUGCCCGAUGGAGGGGGAUAACUACUGGAAACGGUAGCUAAUACCGCAUACCAUCGGAUGUGCCCAGCUGGGAUUAGCUAGUAGGUGGGGUAACGGCUCACCUAGGAGACGAUCCCUGGCUGGUCUGAGAGGAUGAAAAGCAAAACUGGAACGGAGACAGGGUCCAGAAUCCUACGGGAGGAAGCAGGGGGGAAUAUUGCACAAUGGGCGCAAGCCUGAUGCGGCCAUGCCGCGUGGAGGAAGAAGGCCUUCGGGUUGUAAAGUACUUUCAGCGAGGAGGCGUUACUCGCAGAAGAAGCACCGGCUAACUCCGUGCCAGCAGCCGCGGUAAUUC
rnacentral:rRNA from 1 species